GACAGAGGGUGCAAACGUUGUUCGGAAUUACUGGGCGUAAAGCGCGUGUAGGCGGCUAUGCAAGUCGGAUGUGAAAGCCCUCGGCUCAACCGGGGAAGUGCACCCGAAACUGCAAAGCUAGAGUCUCGGAGAGGAUCGUGGAAUUCUCGGUGUAGAGGUGAAAUUCGUAGAUAUUCGGAAGAACACCAGUGGCGAAGGCGACUUACUGGACACAUAUUGACGCUGAGGUGCGAAAGCGUGGGGAGCAAACAGG
rnacentral:rRNA from 1 species